rnacentral:rRNA from 1 species
CGUAGGUGCGAGCGUUGUCCGGAAUUAUUGGCGUAAGAGCUUGUAGGCGGUUUGUCGCGUCUGCUGUGAAACUCGGGCUUAACUCCGAGCCUGCAGUGGGUACGGGCAGACUAGAGUAUGGUAGGGAGACUGGAAUUCCUGGUGUAGCGGUGGAAUGCGCAGAUAUCAGGAGGAACACCGAUGGCGAAGGCAGGUCUCUGGGCCAUAACUGACGCUGAGAAGCGAAAGCAUGGGUAGCGAACAGGAUU